GACGAACGCUGGCGGCGUGCCUAACACAUGCAAGUCGAACGGAGAUGUUGAUUUCGGUUGACGUCUUAGUGGCGAACGGGUGAGUAACGCGUGAACAACCUGACCUUAAGAGGGGGAUAACAGCGAGAAAUCGUUGCUAAUACCGCAUAAGACCACAGGGCCACAUGGCCAAGGGGUCAAAGGAGCAAUCCGCUUAAGGAGGGGUUCGCGUCCCAUUAGGUAGUAGGCGGGGUAACGGCCCACCUAGCCAACGAUGGGUAGCCGAGCUGAGAGGCUGAUCGGCCACACUGGAACUGAGACACGGUCCAGACUCCUACGGGAGGCAGCAGUGGGGAAUAUUGGGCAAUGGGCGAAAGCCUGACCCAGCAACGCCGCGUGAGGGAAGAAGGUUUUAGGAUUGUAAACCUCUGUCGCAGAUGACGAAGGAAGUGACGGUAAUCUGUGAGGAAGCCCCGGCUAACUACGUG
rnacentral:rRNA from 1 species